UGCGGAAGGAUCAUUACCGAGUGCGGGUCCCCUUCGUGGGACCAACCUCCCACCCGUGAUUAUUGUACCUCCUGUUGCUUCGGCGCGGCCCCCCGGGGCCCGCCGGAGACAUCUUCUCGAACGCUGUCUUUGAAAAGGAUUGCUGUCUGAGUAAACAUACCAAAUCGGUUAAAACUUUCAACAACGGAUCUCUUGGUUCCGGCAUCGAUGAAGAACGCAGCGAAAUGCGAUAAGUAAUGUGAAUUGCAGAAUUCAGUGAAUCAUCGAAUCUUUGAACGCACAUUGCGCCCCCUGGUAUUCCGGGGGGCAUGCCUGUCCGAGCGUCAUUACUGCCCCUCAAGCGCGGCUUGUGUGUUGGGCCGCCGUCCCCUGCGCCUCCGGGCAAGGGGGACGGGCCCGAAAGGCAGUGGCGGCGCCGCGUCCGGUCCUCGAGCGUAUGGGGCUUUGUCACCCGCUCAGUAGGUCGGGCCGGGGCCUUUGCCCUCUCCAACCUUUUUUUUCCUUAGGUUGACCUCG
rnacentral:misc_RNA from 1 species